rnacentral:tRNA from 1 species
GCCUUGGUGGUUCAGUGGUAGAAUUCUCGCCUUCCAUGCCUGAAAUCCAGGUUCGAUUCUCAGCCAAUGCA